ACCCCCAAAGUACUAGAAUUUGUACUUUACUAACAAAGUGUAAUCCCAAAUAUAACAUAUGUUGCUUUUUAUUGAGAUUGAGAGAAGUUUGAGGAAGCAGAGAGUCUACAGAGACAGGACGAGUCAACUGGACACGCUGAAUGAUUUCGAACUGAUUUCUCGCUACCGUUUGUCACGUGAAGCUAUUAUAGCUCUUGUAGAAGAAGUUGAGCCAAUAAUCGGAAGGAGUACACAGCGUUCACACGCCAUUUCUGUAGAGUCACAGGUGCCUUGACUUUACGCUAUCUCGGCAAAGGUGGCUUCCUGUCCGAGAUCGGGGACCUCCACGGCCUUGACAAGUCAACCGUUUCGAGAUCCCAGCACAGCACAGCCAGUGCUUUUUGCACGGUGCUAAAUAAUAUUCAUUUUCCAUGGGGACCACAAGAACAGAUAGCAGUUAAAGAGGGCUUCUACAAACUAUCCUGGUUCCCCAAAGUUCUUGGAGCGGUUGACGGGACCUUGAUCCCAAUAAAAAAGACCCCCUAUCGCCGAGGAAGCAGCGUUCGUUUGCUGGAAGGGCUACCACGCCGUGAAUGUUCAGGCUAUUUGUGACAGCUCUCUUCGCUUCACAAAUGUAGUAGUCAAGUGGCUGGGGUCAACCCACGAAUCACUCAUUUGGAGCAACUGCAGCAUUGCCACUAAGAUGGUACAGCAGGCACCGGAUGGGUGGCUCCCUGGUGAUUCUGGAUAUGCAUGUCGACCAUGUCUUCUAACACCCUUUACUGAGCCGCAGACACGCCCCCAAGAGAGGUACAACUCUGCCCACACUAGAACAAGAAACACCAUUGAUCGUGCGUUUGGUGUUUUAAAGGCAAGGUUUAGGUGUUUGCACAAGUCCUCUGGAUGUCUGUGGUUCAGCCCAGACAGGUGCUCUGUGGUAAUUAUGGCAUGCUUUAAGCUCCAUAAUUACUGCAUCACCAAGGGAGUGCAGGUACCACUGGGAGAUGUACUGGAAGAGGCAGAGGCGGAGACCAACACCCCACCCGCUCCCAGGCAGUGUGUAGAUGGCAACACCGCUAGGCAGAACCUUGUCAACGAAAGAUUUUCAUGAAAUGGCCAGCCUGUCAGUCUCCACCUGAAGUCGCUGUUCCGAGACAGCCAGGAUUUUUCUUUGUACUUCAAGGAGGACCUUCAGUAUUCCAGUCCUUUCCUUUUCACUAGCAAGGAUGGCAGUCACGCCUGGCUGAGCUUCCCUUUCUGUAGAAAAGUUGUUUGGGGCCUUUCACUAUCAGGUUGUUCAGCUGCCUGCUCUGUUGAUGGCUGUGAUGUGGAGGGUACUAGGGCAAGCUCUGAUGUAGCAAUUGAUGGAUGGCUGCUGUACUGUUGUUGAUGGUACAAACGCACUUGAUACCACAGGGAGGCUGGUCAAUGUAAGACAGACCAACUGGUGCUGGACCCCCGCCUGUCUUGCAGCUCUCACGCCGCACAUCAAUGGCCUUCUUCACCUGGGAUCUGGAAAAUGCCAUCAUUUAUACUAUAAUGCAAAUACAGCAUAAAAUUAGUUAUCAAUUUGUUUUCAAGUGUUCUAGUAAAUUGCAUUUAUAUCAGUUUUCAUGUAAUUUACACAACUUUUAUUGCUGUGAUAGGUUGCAACAUUUUUAUUAAGGUUAUACCUCAUUAUGUAAAUAUUUCUGAACAUUAAUGAAAACUUUAUUUCAAAAAGAAUUAUAAAAGAGGUGCUAAUUGUAUAUAAAGGAAUAUAUGGCAAUGUGUUACUGUGUGUAACAACGAUAUUCUAUGUGUUAAAUCUAAUACUGAUUUAUUGUUAAAAUAUAUAUUUCAAUCAUUUGGGAAACAACAAAAUGAGUGUUUUGUCAUUUAUCAUUGUUGGUGAUGAUCAGGAUAAUUUGCCACCUACAGUUGAAAUCAAAAUUAUUCAACCCCCUACUUCAAAGUCAGAAUAAUUUUGAAACUGUUAAAAUCAAUGAAAGCAUGACAUUUUAUUUAAUUUACAAUUUUCCUUUGUGUUUGUUUGUUAAAAAUACUUAAACCAUACUUGUGUCACUAUAUCAUCACAGACAAUAAGUACUGUCUCUGCAAUAAAUGUGAUUGCAUGUUUUGGCCAUGAGGGUUGAAUAAUUCUGACUCCAACUGUACAGUAAUAGGAUAAAAAAAAUAAAAAUUCAUAUCAAUAACAACCAUUUUCAGGGUAAACCAUACACAUGAUUAUAUUGAAAUCUUGAUGUGUCUGUAUAUUUCGAGUAUGGUUUAAAUUGUUGAUAAUUACUUAGCCAGUA
rnacentral:lncRNA from 1 species